AGCGAACGCUGGCGGCAGGCUUAACACGUGCAAGUCGAACGGGCACUUCGGUGUCAGUGGCAGACGGGUGAGUAACGCGUGGGAACAUACCUCUUGGUUCGGAACAACACAGGGAAACUUGUGCUAAUACCGGAUAAGCCCUUACGGGGAAAGAUUUAUCGCCGAGAGAUUGGCCCGCGUCUGAUUAGCUAGUUGGUGUGGUAAAAGCGCACCAAGGCGACGAUCAGUAGCUGGUCNGAGAGGAUUAUCAGCCACAUUGGGACUGAGACACGGCCCAAACUCCUACGGGAGGCAGCAGUGGGGAAUAUUGGACAAUGGGCGCAAGCCUGAUCCAGCCAUGCCGCGUGAGUGAUGAAGGCCCUAGGUUGUAAAGCUCUUUUGUACGGGAAGAUAAUGACGGUACCGUAAGAAUAAGCCCCGGCUAACUUCGUGCCAGCCGCCGCCGUAAC
rnacentral:rRNA from 1 species